rnacentral:rRNA from 1 species
UACGGAGGGUGCAAGCGUUAUCCGGAUUCACUGGGUUUAAAGGGUGCGUAGGAGGGCAGGUAAGUCAGUGGUGAAAUCUUCGAGCUUAACUCGGAAACUGCCGUUGAUACUAUCUGUCUUGAAUACCGUGGAGGUGAGCGGAAUAUGUCAUGUAGCGGUGAAAUGCUUAGAUAUGACAUAGAACACCAAUUGCGAAGGCAGCUCGCUACACGAAUAUUGACGCUGAGGCACGAAAGCGUGGGGAGCAAACAGG